rnacentral:lncRNA from 1 species
GUCUCUGUCUCUGUCUCUCCCCUCCCCCUUCCCUUUCUCUCUCUCCUGCUUUCUCCCUCCCUCCUUCCUUCUCCUUUCGUCUCUUUCUCUCUCUCACCUCCUCUUUCCCCACCUCCCUCCCGGUCUCUUCUCUCUCCCCCUCUCCCCUUCUGUCUCUUUUUCUCUCCCCCUCUUCCAUCUGUCUCUGUCUCUCUCUUCUCUUCUCUUCUCUCUCGCUCUCUCUCUCUCUUCCUCUCUCCUCCUCUUUCCCUAUCCUCUCCCUCCCUCCCUGUCUCCUCUCCCUCCUGUCCCCUUCUCUUUUUCCGUCUAUUUCUAUGUCUUUCUCCCGCCUCCUCUCCUCUCUCUCUCCUCUCUGCGCUCUCUCUUUCUCCUUCUCUCCUCCACUUCCCCUAUCCUCUCCCUCCAUCGUCUCCUCUCCCCUUCUCUUUUCCUGUCUGUUCCUGUUUGUCUUUCACCCUCCCUCUCCUCUCCUCUUUCGCUCUCCUCUUUUUCUCCCUCUCUCCUCUUUCCUCGCCCUCUCCCUGCCUCCCUGUGUUCUCUUUCUCCCCCCACCCUCGUUCUGUCUCUUUUCUCUUCCGUCUGUCUCUUUUUCUUUCCUCUCCUUUCUGCCCCUCUCUCCCUCUCUCUGUUUCUCUUUGUUCCCCCACCACCACAAUCACCACCUCUCGUCGCCAGCCCCCGAAGGGACGACCUUCUCCCCAUUUUCCCAGGGCCAGGUUGGGGAGGAGGUGGAAAUUCCGCUCCAGAAAACCAGGGUGCCUGACGCCCAGCCUCUUUCUGUGCCCCUCCACCCCCUUUUCUAAGUCAGCCCUCCCGACCCCCGUCUCCGUCCGGGUCCGCGUCCCCGCAGUUCAACUCUUCCUUCUGGGAUGGGGUUCCCAGGCUGGUGACCAAGGCAGGGAGCUAGAGCCAGGGACCUACUCCCACCCCUCUGCUGUCAGAGGACCUGGAUUCGAAACCUGCCCCUUGGCGUUUCAUACACGUAUCACCUCCUUCCCCUGA